UACGUAGGGGGCAAGCGUUAUCCGGAUUUACUGGGUGUAAAGGGAGCGUAGACGGUUGUGCAAGUCUGAAGUGAAAGCCCGCGGCUCAACUGCGGAACGGCUUUGGAAACUGUGUAACUGGAGUGCUGGAGAGGUAAGCGGAAUUCCUGGUGUAGCGGUGAAAUGCGUAGAGAUCAGGAGGAACACCGGCGGCGAAGGCGGCUUACUGGACAGUAACUGACGUUGAGGCUCGAAAGCGUGGGGAGCAAACAGG
rnacentral:rRNA from 1 species